AUACGUAGGGUGCAAGCGUUAAUCGGAAUUACUGGGCGUAAAGCGUGCGCAGGCGAUUUUGUAAGACAGUGGUGAAAUCCCCGGGCUCAACCUGGGAACUGCCAUUGUGACUGCAAGGCUGGAGUGCGGCAGAGGGGGAUGGAAUUCCGCGUGUAGCAGUGAAAUGCGUAGAUAUGCGGAGGAACACCGAUGGCGAAGGCAAUCCCCUGGGCCUGCACUGACGCUCAUGCACGAAAGCGUGGGGAGCAAACAGGAUUAGAUACCCUGGUAGUCCACGCCCUAAACGAUGUCAACUGGUUGUUGGGGAUUUAUUUUCUCAGUAACGAAGCUAACGCGUGAAGUUGACCGCCUGGGGAGUACGGCCGCAAGGUUAGAACUCAAAGGAAUUGACGGGG
rnacentral:rRNA from 1 species